AAAAAUCCAAAUGAUGCAAAAUUUAAGUCCAUUUUGAUUUUCUUGAAAAUAUCCACAACUUUGAUGUUGGAGGUUGUUUCAUAUGAAGCUUGCAUCAUUAAAACAGAAAGGCUUGAAAGUUGGCCAAUUUUAGAGACCUUGCCUUGACAUGUUUUGCACAACACACUUUAAACUCAAAUUUCAUAAAUUUCCACAUUCCAAAUGGACUUUUU
rnacentral:lncRNA from 1 species